UGCACAUCCUUCUAGUUGCUGCAUGUGGGACGCAGCCUCAGCAUGGCCAGAGAAGCGGUGCGUCGGUGCGCGCCCGGGAUCCAAACCCAGGCCGCCAGCAGCGGAGCACGCACACUUAACCGCUAAGCCAUGGGGCUGGCCCAAGAAAGCAGUUUUUAAGGGAUGCUUAGAGAGUUUUGGUCCUCUCAAGUAAGUAGGAAUAAAGGGCAUAAUGUGUUUUGCCUUUAUUUUCUAGAGAGAGAUGGCAAGGCAUUAAGAAUUGAGGGAUACGGGAGGAUGAGGUGUUUUGCAAAGAGCAGGCAGAGUUCUGAGACUUCUCUUCACUCUGUUAGGGGGGCUACAGAGCAGAGCUUCUCACACUUUAGUGUGAAGAUGAAUCUCCUGAGGAUCUUGCUAAAAUGGAGAUUCUGGUUCAGGAAGGGUGGGAUCAGGAUUGAGAUUUUGCAUUUCUAACAGGUUCCAGGAGACGUUAAUGCUACUUUGAGGAGCAAGCUAGAGGGUGGAGCAGGAGUCAUCUUAUCAAGAGCCCAUUGACUCUUGCAGUGGAGGCAUUUACUAGAGUACUAAUGAUACAAUUUUUAUGGUUAUUUGUGUGUGUGUGGUGGGAAUGAGGACUAUUUCAUUGAGAAGGUUGUAUCGGAGAUGAACCUUUUAAGGUGCAUUAGAUUUCGGAAAGCAGAGACUAGAGGUAUGGUAGGUAUCUUAAAGGAUUUAUAAAUGUUUUGAUGUUCAGAGUCUCCUGGAUUUAACACCUUGCUUCAAGGGAAGUAUUUUAACAAGAAAAUAUCUAGAAAUAUUCACGACUAUGCGUUGUAUACCUGAUCACUUGAAAGAUAGUUUUCUCCUAGUCAGUCAGAGGCAGCACCUUCUCUGUAGGAGAAGGAAUUAGUAUGGGGAGAAUAAAAACAGGUAUACAGGGCCGACCCCGUGGCUUAGCGGUUAAGUGCGGCUCAGUGGUUAAGUGCGGCGCUCCGCUACUGGCGGCCAGGGUUCUACUGGGGCUUUGGGGGGGAAAAAAAACAGCUAUACAAAGUCAAAGUUCAAGUUUUUUUUUUUUAAACUUAUAAAACAGGCUUUUUGAGAAUCAAAGGUAAAUCUCCAGGAAAGGCAGGCACAGAGUAUGUGACAAAAUCAAACCAGAAAGUACGUAGGAAUAUAGAGGAAGAAGAAGAUCACUAUACAUCUUCGCCUGGGCUCGAGUUUGGCAAACAGAAGGAUACAAUUACCUGGGUGAUGAUUUAAUAAAAGAAUAAUGUCAGAAGAACUGUGUUGGAAGAGCUACUUUAAAACUAAAAGACAUUUUUACGGAAAAAGUUCACUCAGAAGUACUCUAGUCUGGACUUCCUUACAUCUGAAUGGCUGAGCUCCAAGAUAAGAGGAGAAGUUGCAGUCCUUUUGAGGCAUAGGCUUGGAAGUCCUAGAACAUCACUUCUACUGAUUUCUAUUGGACAAGGCAAGUCACAGGACCAGCCCAGAUUCAAGGUAGGAAAAACAGAUUCUAUUUGUUGAUGAGAUGAGAGUCAUACUUGUACAGGAACAGAGGAAAUGAAUGGCUGCUUUCAUUAACACUGUCCACUACCCUAGAGUUGUAAUAUUUAUUUCUCAGUUGUCAAACAUUUACUGAGCUCUGAGAAACAAGAUUGAGAUAGAGUCUGUAAAUUGACAAGGUUCCUGUCUCUGUGAUACAGUGUUAUGGAGAAGAUUGACAAUUAAACAAGUAUAUAGCACUUGCAUUUCUGGCAACAUGGAGGAUUAAAUAACAGACAAAAUAUAAAAAUGCCAAAUAAAUUUUAAUAAAUUUUUGAAUGCAUAGCCAGGAAAUAUCAAGUGACAUAAAUAAAGAGGAUAUUCAUUUAAAGCAUGCUAAGUGUGCAAAGUGAUGCUACAGUGGCUUAUGAAGACGUCAGAUAGGAUAUAAACUUUAAAGUCUAGAGGCUGGGCUUUGAAUAUGUACAGGGAUAGGAAAGGUGGAAGAUGGAAGCUGAGAUUGCCGCAUCUUUCAUGUAAUAGGUCUAAAAUUUCUAGACAAACAAUCCAGUGAAAUACUGAAACCCUAAACCUGAGCAAUAGGCAUGGAGUCAGUAAUUUGUGAGUAGAGGAAACCAAAGCUGAAAAGUUAACACAAAAACUGGUUAUAUCCGUAAAAAUCCUUGGAGCAUCAGGCAGAAAUUAACACAAAUCUUUGUACGGACACCUCAAAUAUAUAGGGUACAGUAUGUCCACAAUGAAAACAGUUCUCAAAAAAGUUGACCUCACACUAAAAAACUAGACAUCAUAGGUGGUAGUUCUCACUGCUGCUCACCAACAUUUCUGAGUUUUCCCCCUUUAGGUACUCAGUAUUAAUGCAUUCCCCAUCUCCUUGAAUGCCAUGUGACUUGCUUUGGCCAAUGAAAUGUGAGUGGAAAUUACAUGUGCCAUCUCUAGCUGGAAGCAUUUAAGAGUUUGUAUGCUAUUCUUUACAAUUCUGUUGUUCUGCCACGGUGAUUGAUUAUGGAAGCAUAUGUUGGUAAUGAAGAUGUAAUCCUGAGCCCUCAUAUGGAGCACAGCUGCCUUAGAGAGUAAUUUGAACCUGCAGCUCAAUAGAUAUGAGUUUUUGAAACAUUUAAAUUUGGAGGUUAUUUGUUUCCAUGGCAUAACUUAGUGUAUCGUAAUUAAUAAACCACACAAGGAAAUUAUCUAUUGUAAGAGAGUGUUAACAAAUAAUCCAAAAUAUGGUACUUAAACAACUUCAAAUAAAGGACAUUCUGAAUGAGUCAAC